UACAGAGGUCUCAAGCGUUGUUCGGAUUCAUUGGGCGUAAAGGGUGCGUAGGCGGCGCGGUAAGUCGGGUGUGAAAUCUCGGGGCUUAACUCCGAAACUGCAUUCGAUACUGCCGUGCUUGAGGACUGGAGAGGAGACUGGAAUUUACGGUGUAGCGGUGAAAUGCGCAGAUAUCAGGAGGAACACCGGUGGCGAAGGCGGGUCUCUGGGCCGAAACUGACGCUGAGGAGCGAAAGCGUGGGGAGCAAACAGG
rnacentral:rRNA from 1 species